UCCCCAGCCCCUCCACAGGAUGGAGUGUAUGGGCCUCACACGGAAAUGCCCACACCAAGCACUGCAUGGAGACAGAUGGAACCUAAGGAGGAUAGGAAAAGCUUUCAGGAAGCAGAUCAACAGACCUGCCUGGCCCAAGCCUUAUUUCUAGAAGAGGCACCAUUUCUGGAGAAGACAGCUUCUGUUGGACUUUGGACUGCAUUGACAAUUAUUCCAAGAUUCUCCAAAAACCAGUGUUAACUCAUGAGAAGAACCCACAUCCCUAUCUUCCCAGCAGAAGCCCCUGGUACUCGUCUGUAGGAGCUGCAACCAUAAUUUUCCUUCAUACCUUCCCUCCCCAGCCCAGUUCCUACAGCUCUGCACCCCACCCUAGAACUCAGAUGGAGGGAAUAUGGAAGUCCUCCUACACUGUAGCCUUGCUAUAUCUUCUUCUCAAGUUGCAAGCCUAUCAGCAAAACCCCAAAAUACAUUUGGCUGUCUGCUGAAAUGAUAAGAUUGAGCUAGGUCUAAUUCCUGCCUUGACUGAAACUACAGUACCAAGUGAAGAUGGAUGUGCCUUGUCAGUGAGCAGUCAGACUGAAUGAAGAAAGCACACACCUAACCUAGAGCUCAUGAACAAUAUGAAUUGCUCAAC